rnacentral:lncRNA from 1 species
CCUCGCUGUCAGUCAGGAGCCUUGGGUGCGGCGCGGACAUGGGGACCCACGUGUGGGCUCGGGCAGCCGCUGCCAUCCUGCUGCAGCUGCUGCUGGGGGACCCGACGGCCCCAGAGGACACAGGAGCCGGAGAAACUCUGCAGGUUCAUAUCAUCUGCUUCAACUUUGAAAUGGUGCAGGUGACCUGGAACAACACCGUACCUGCUACAGGGACCAACCUGACUUUCUUCUACAGGGUGACUGGGCCGCACUGGGAGCCUCCUCUGCUUUCCAGGGGGUCCCCCUGCCCUGCUCCCCGGGACGCGUCAGGGUGCGGCCCUCUCUCCCCUCUCUGAGACCCCUCGUUGGUGAGGCAGAGGGGCCUUUGGCCCUCAGGGACACGGGCGGGCGGACGGGCGGGCGGCUGGGCUCGCG